UCCAUUCUCAAUCAUGAUUUGAACCCUUGC
rnacentral:piRNA from 1 species